GACGAACGCUGGCGGCGUGCUUAACACAUGCAAGUCGAGCGGUAAGGCCCUUUCGGGGAUACACGAGCGGCGAACGGGUGAGUAACACGUGGGUGACCUGCCCUCAGCUCUGGGAUAAGCCUGGGAAACCGGGUCUAAUACUGGAUAUGACUCCAUGACGCAUGUUGUGGGGUGGAAAGCCUUGUGCGGCUGAGGAUGGGCCCGCGGCCUAUCAGC
rnacentral:rRNA from 1 species